AACAAACGCUGGCGGCGUGCCUAAUACAUGCAAGUCGAACGGGGAAAGCUUUCGGGUGAGUACUAGUGGCGCACGGGUGAGUAACGCGUGGAUAAUCUGCCUUAGAGUGGAGGAUAACUAGUCGAAAGAUUAGCUAAUACCGCAUAAGACCACAAGAACUGCGGUUCAAGGGGUCAAAGGUUUUUCGCUCUAAGAUGAGUCCGCGUAAGAUUAGCUAGUUGGUAGGGUAACGGCCUACCAAGGCGACGAUCUUUAACUGGUCUGAGAGGAUGAUCAGCCACACUGGAACUGAGACACGGUCGAGACGCCUACGGGAGGCAGCGGUAGGGAAUAUUGCACAAUGGAGGAAACUCGGAUGCAGCGACGCCGCGUGAGUGAUGAAGGCCUUCGGGUCGUAAAGCUCUGUCGCAGGGGAAUAACACAAUGAAGGUACCCUGUAAGAAAGGAUCGGCUAACUUCGUGCCAGCAGCCGCCGUAACAC
rnacentral:rRNA from 1 species